rnacentral:rRNA from 1 species
CAGCAGCCGCGGUAAUACAGAGGGUGCGAGCGUUAAUCGGAUUUACUGGGCGUAAAGCGUGCGUAGGCGGCUUCUUAAGUCGGAUGUGAAAUCCCUGAGCUUAACUUAGGAAUUGCAUUCGAUUCUGGGAAGCUAGAGUAUGGGAGAGGAUGGUAGAAUUCCAGGUGUAGCGGUGAAAUGCGUAGAGAUCUGGAGGAAUACCGAUGGCGAAGGCAGCCAUCUGGCCUAAUACUGACGCUGAGGUACGAAAGCAUGGGGAGCAAACAGGAUUAGAUACCCCAGUAGUCCCUGUCUCAUAUAC